UACGAAAGGGGCAGGUGUUAUUCAGAUUAACUGGGCGUAAAGGGCACGUAGGUGGUUUGUUAUGUGUACUAUAAAAUUAUAAAGCAUAACUUUAUACUGUAGUAUAGACAACUAAACUAGAGUUAGGUAGAGGGUAGUAGAAUUUCUAAUGUAAAGGUGAAAUUUGAUAAAUUUAGAGAGAAUACCAAUGGCGGAGGCAACUGCCUGGGCCUUAGCUGACACUGAGGUGCGAAGGUAUGGGGAGCAAAUAGG
rnacentral:rRNA from 1 species